UACGGGGGUCCCAAGCGUUGUUCGGAUUCACUGGGCGUAAAGGGUGCGUAGGUGGCCAUGUAAGUUUGAUGUGAAAGCUCCGGGCUCAACCCGGAAAAGGCAUUGAAUACUGCGUGGCUUGAGGAUCGGAGGGGAGAAUGGAAUUCUCGGUGUAGCAGUGAAAUGCGUAGAUAUCGAGAGGAACACCAAUGGCGAAGGCAAUUCUCUGGACGAUUCCUGACACUGAGGCACGAAGGCUAGGGGAGCAAACAGG
rnacentral:rRNA from 1 species